rnacentral:rRNA from 1 species
UACGUAGGUGACCAGCGUUGUCCGGAUUUACUGGGCGUAAAGAGCGCGCAGGCGGUCGUUCAAGUCGAGUGUGAAAGCCCCCGGCUCAACUGGGGAGGGUCACUCGAUACUGGUCGACUUGAAGGCAGGAGAGGGAAGCGGAAUUCCCGGUGUAGUGGUGAAAUGCGUAGAUAUCGGGAGGAACACCGGUGGCGAAGGCGGCAUCCUGGACCGGCAUUGACGCUGAGGCGCGAAAGCCAGGGGAGCAAACGGG